rnacentral:sRNA from 1 species
GCAAGCCUUCGCCAGCAGGGUAGGCAUCGGUUGUUUUCAGCAAGUUCUUUGACGCUGAAGACAUCCUUGUAGAAGACGGAGAUGCUCUCCUCUCAACUAUGUGGUUGUUUGGCCGAGGGGGCUUUGCAGAUUUGGCGCUACUUCUGGGGUCACAAGACGGUCCUGGAGCACCCAGAACCUUUGGCAUUCUCAAGUCAGCCCGGGCUGGAGAAUCAUCUGUGACUAAUGAGCAGGAGACUGGAUCCACCAAGUAUGAGGGUGUUGAAAGGGUGGAAGAAAAACAGGGCAGAAGAAAGAAGAAGCCACAAAACAGGAGGGGGGCCGUGUCCCUGGGAGCAGCCCAGGCUUGGCUCCCCCCGUGUCAGGGGCAGAGGCCCUAAAGAGAGCACAGCCUAGGCUGUGUCACCUUUGGAGGUGAGAGUCUUGGAGACGUCCCUACCGAGGGACAACCGCUAAGGAGAGAAGCAGCCUGGCUUGGAGCCCACCGAGCCAAAGGAUCCACAGCAGACAGACACACUGCCUAUGCUCCAAGGGACCCUUGGAGCCUUUUGCAGCUCACAACAGAGCAAGCGAAAACAAGACGUGAGACUAUGGGAUUUGAGAAUUAGACGUCGGUUUUGAUUUGCUUUUAGUUUUGUGCCUGUACCCUGAUUCUUCUUUGCUCCCCUCGUGUUUAUCUCGAAAGGAAAAAAAAAAUGUUAUUCAAGG